GACGAACGCUGGCGGCGUGCUUAACACAUGCAAGUCGAACGGGAUUUAGUAAACAGAAACCUCGGUGGAAGAUUACUAAUGAGAGUGGCGAACGGGUGAGUAACGCGUGAGCAACCUGCCUAUGACAGUGGGAUAGCCUCGGGAAACCGGGAUUAAUACCGCAUAAAAUCGUAGAAACACAUGUUUUAACGGUCAAAGAUUUAUCGGUCAUAGAUGGGCUCGCGUCUGAUUAGCUAGUUGGUGAGAUAACAGCCCACCAAGGCGACGAUCAGUAGCCGGUCUGAGAGGAUGAACCGCCACAUUGGGACUGAGACACGGUCCAAACUCCUACGGGAGGCAGCAGUGGGGAAUAUUGCACAAUGGGGGAAACCCUGAUGCAGCGACGCCGCGUGAACGAAGAAGGUAUUCGUAUCGUAAAGUUCUGUCCUAUGGGAAGAUAAUGACAGUACCAUAGAAGAAAGCUCCGGCUAAAUACGUG
rnacentral:rRNA from 1 species